rnacentral:rRNA from 1 species
AUGGCUGACGACGAAAUCGCCAAGAAGAAGGCAUUGGCUGAUGCCGAGGCUGCUGCCGCCGCCGCCAUGUUGGCCUGGCCAACCGGAGGGUAUGAGUCGUUCAUCCCCUAUUUGCUCGUUCGUGUGCUAGCCGUAUAUAUGAUGUUCAUAGAUGAACUUCCCCGCAUCAUCUCAUCCUCUUGUUGGGCACUUGAGUGUGACACUCAGAAGACUGGGGGCCUCCUUGGAAAGCUACCUAUUUCAGCCAUUGUUGCUUGUGAUGUUAAGGUCCAUACAUUGUGUAAAGUUAUUGACCCUAAGGCAGAAUUUGAUCCUCUCUUGGUUCUUUCAAUGAUCUAUAAUGCUGCCAAACAAUCUCUUGGUGUAUCUGUUAGUAACAGAAACUUUUGGAUUCAGAUUCAAAGGCCUUAUUCCCCUGAGGCUGUUGAUUUGGCACUUCAGCGCUGGUCUGGUAUUUCAGAUCCCAUAAGAGUAGAAGCAGUUCUUAUUCCAUGUGUGUUGGAUGAUGAACCUAAGAUGGUAAGCCUUAAUAUAUGA